rnacentral:rRNA from 1 species
CUUAAUACGAGAGGCUCAUGACGGUACCGUAAGAAUAAGCACCGGCUAACUACGUGCCAGCAGCCGCGGUAAUACGUAGGGUGCAAGCGUUAAUCGGAAUUACUGGGCGUAAAGCGUGCGCAGGCGGUUAUGUAAGACAGAGGUGAAAUCCCCGGGCUCAACCUGGGAACUGCCUUUGUGACUGCAUAGCUAGAGUACGGUAGAGGGGGAUGGAAUUCCGCGUGUAGCAGUGAAAUGCGUAGAUAUGCGGAGGAACACCGAUGGCGAAGGCAAUCCCCUGGACCUGUACUGACGCUCAUGCACGAAAGCGUGGGGAGCAAACAGGAUUAGAUACCCUGGUAGUCCACGCCCUAAACGAUGUCAACUGGUUGUUGGGUCUUCACUGACUCAGUAACGAAGCUAACGCGUGAAGUUGACCGCCUGGGGAGUACGGCCGCAAGGUUGAAACUCAAAUGAAUUGACGGA